UCGACAUUGAGUGAUUCCUUCCAGUGUAAUAAUAGUUUUGGUAUUUUGGUACCAUUUCAUUGCUAACAUCAGCUAUCAGGUUCCCAAACAUAUGCAAGCAAAUGUUAGUAAAGUAUCUGUGCUAUCGUUAUUCUGUAUAUUGUACAAGAUUAAUAGUGUAAGGCAAUGUUUACAGCAUAGGAGAGAAGCAACGCAGGUCUUUGUUUUUAAUAUAUGUCUCUGAGCAGUAUGAACAGUGUCAAUGAAACAGAAAUUAGCUUUUAGUAUCGCCAUCGUUUACAAGCAGCUGUUCUAGCUGUAGCUGGUCUGUGUUACAACUGCAUGACGUGAGUUGUCUGCGAGGGAAAUCACGACACAUAUGAUUAUGUUUAUGUUACGAGGUAGACAAUCCUUUUUCGUCAUUGAUGCGAGGAAAAGUAUCCUAGACGUCGUUCUAGUGUUAUGCAUAACCAUGCUAUAGUUAGCAGAAUUUACUCAAAUAGGCAGAAUUACCUUUAGAGAA